GGCGCCUCUCUGCCUUGUUUCUGUCUCGAUCCAGUAAUCAAGACAGAGCGAGAGCGGCUUGGAAGCUCCGCAGAAACAUCUGCAGAAAGUUAGACCUCCAUAGCUAGCAUCUCCAUUUCCCCUACUCCUCAGUCAGGUCCUUUGGAGGAUGUCUGGGCUGGAGCUGGUGACCUUGGCUUCCUGAGCUGUCUUAUCAUCCUGUGCUAAGGGCUGUGGUGCCCAAUUCCUGUCUGAGCAGUCAAGCUAAAGACCCUGCGAAUGAAUAGACUGAUGUGGAACCUGUCCAAGGUGAAAACCGCCUCUGCAUUGCCAACUCAUUACAGGGCACCCCAAGCAUGAAGAGGACUCGUUCCCCCUAAUGCUCCCCCAGAGGGCUUGUGGGAGUAGGCUGCUUGUCACGAAGCCCUUGAAAAGAACUGAGUCUCCUCUCUUUCAGGGUGAGCGAAGCCCAGAAACAUCCUGCCUGCAUCGACUGUCUCCUCCCCAAGCACCACGAAAAAUGCCAGUUGGGUACUCUCAGUAGCCUAGACCAAGCUAAAUAUUUCUCAAAAGGGUGUUGGUGUCACCUGAAGGACCAGGCUAGAAAGGAAAGCUGUAUUAAGCCUGAAAAACACAACUCUCAAAAACUCUCAAAGUCCCUGAACCAACGAUGGAAGGUCAAUAGUCUUCAUUCUCUAGGUGGUGAAACCUACGUACAGAUCAGUCAGGGUAUCUGCUGGAUGGAACCAAGCUUGAAAGUGGUGGGUGCUGAUUGGAACCAAUACUUCAUCUGCAAGGCUUGGGCUCUAAGCCAAGGCUUCAAUGAAGAGAUCAGCAGAUGAAUUCUCCCCUCAAAGGUGUGACAGCGUCACCAGGAAGUGGUGAAUUUUCACAGAGUGGGACUUGGUUAGAGGAGAAGAAAGUCCCAAUGGGUCAAAAAUGGAGGUUGUUGAAGUUUUUUUGUUUGUUUGUUUGUUUGUUUUUUGCUGCAGAUACAAUUAUUCGCUUGAUGAAGGAAGAUGAGUAAUAGGGCUCUCAGCCUGAGGUCUAGGUUACUUCUUAUUUCCUCCCACCUGGAUUAACUUCAGGAAGGUGCAACUUAUGUAGCUGCAGGGCCCUAGGCUCAGAAGGGCUCCAUGCUUGGUUUAAGAUUCUACUGUUAUUGCUUGAAAUUCUUGAAAAUUAUGUCUUUGAACCUGUGUUUUGUAAGUGAAGUCUUAUGGGAUAA